rnacentral:tRNA from 1 species
GCCCGCGUGGCGCAAUGGUAGCGCGUCGCCCUCCUAAGGCGAAGGCUGUGGGUUCGAGUCCCACCGUGGGUG